rnacentral:rRNA from 1 species
AUUGAACGCUGGCGGCAGGCCUAACACAUGCAAGUCGAACGAGUGGCGGACGGGUGAGUAAUGUCUGGGAAACUGCCCGAUGGAGGGGGAUAACUAAUGGAAACGGUAGCUAAUACCGCAUACCAUCGGAUGUGCCCAGAUGGGAUUAGCUAGUAGGGGGGGUAACGGCUAACCUAGGCGACGAUCCCUCGCUGGUCUGAGAGGAUGACAAGCCAGACUGGAACGGAGACACGGGCCAGACUCCUACGUGAGGCAGCAGUGGGGAAUAUUGCACAAUGGGCGAAAGCAUGAUGCAGCCAUGCCGCGUGUAUGAAGAGGGCCUUCGGGUUGUAAGGUACGUUCAGCGAUGAGGCGUUACUCGCAGAAGAAGCGCCGGCUAACUCCGUGCCAGCAGCCGCGGUAAUAC